rnacentral:rRNA from 1 species
AACGAACGCUGGCUGCAUGCCUAACACAUGCAAGUCGAACGAGAUUCUCCGGGGCCUAGUGGCGCACGGGUGCGUAACGCGGGGGAAUCUGCCCUUGGGUCUGGGAUAACAGCGGGAAACUGCUGCUAAUACCGGAUGAUAUCGCGAGAUCAAAGAUUUAUCGAUCGAGGAUGAGCCCGCGUCGGAUUAGCUAGUUGGGGGGGUAAAGGCCUACCAAGGCGACGAUCCGUAGCUGGUCUGAGAGGAUGAGCAGCCACACUGGGACUGAGACACGGCCCAGACUCCUACGGGAGGCAGCAGUGGGGAAUAUUGGACAAUGGGCGCGAGCCUGAUCCAGCAAUGCCGCGUGAGUGAUGAAGGCCUUAGGGUUGUAAAGCUCUUUUACCCGGGAUGAUAAUGACAGUACCGGGAGAAUAAGCUCCGGCUAACUCCGUGCCAGCAGCAGCCGCAGUAA